GGCGAGCGCACCCCCGCAGGGCUCUCCUGGCGUCCGGCGCCCCACCGCACAGGUCAGCUAACUUGAGAGCCUCGGAGUAUCAUCGCCAGGGAGAGGCAGAGUCUGGGCAGAUGACCUUCUUUGUCAGAGACCCAGCGGAGAGGGGGCUGGCGCACCACGAGAUGUCACUCUGAGCCCUUGGGAGCCAUGGCGGCUCUAUGAGCCCAGGAGUCGACAGUGGACCAGAACUGGGCCUGAGGACUCUCUGCCUUUUGGGGCCCUCCGGCUGGCACACUGGCCAUGUGCAGCCCUGAGGAGUCGGCCCUGCUUCGGCUGGAGGAGGUCUUCUCGGCCACCCUCGCCCGAAUCAACAGCCUCGUCCUCCAGCCCCUGCUCGCAGCUGCCCCAGAGCCGUCGGACCCCCGGGGCAGAGAGUGUCUGCAGCUCCUGCAGCAGCUGCACAGGUGCUCCCAGCAGCUCUGGGAGGUGACGGAGGAAAGCCUGCAUUCACUGCGCGAGAGGCUGCGCCACCCGGACACUGUCGGCCUAGAGUCUCUGCUGCUGCUGCGCGGUGCCGAGGGCGUCCUGCAGGUCUACUUGGAGUACAUCAAGUCCUACACGAGCUGCGUGGCGGUGCAGGCCUUUCAGAAGACGGCAAAGAAGAGGAGCGAGUACUGGCGGGGCCAGCGGAAGGCGCUGCGGCAGCUGCUGUGGGGCGUGAGCUCCGAGGGCUCGGUGGGCACCGCGCUGGUCCAGGCCCUGCGCCAGCCGCUCACCCAUCACGUGCAGCAGUACGUGCUCCUCCUGCUGAGCCUUGGGGACAGCAUCGGGGAGCAUCACCCCACUCGGGAGCUGGUGGUGCACGCAGCCGCCCUCUUCGGGGACCUGCAGUCCUUCAUGAGGCAGGAGCUGGACCAGGCUGUGGCCACGCAGGCCCUCUGGCACGCCCUGAGCAGCCGGCAAAGGGACGCACUCUGCACCCCCACUCGCCGACUCUUGCAAGACAGCCAGGACAUACCCGUGACGGUCACCCCGCUGCGGGCAGAGCGUGUGCUGCUCUUCGAUGAUGUCCUUGUCCUUUUGCAGGGCCACAGUGUUCACACCUUUGAUCUGAAGCUGGUAUGGGUGGAUCCUGAGCAGGACGGGUGCACGUUUCACCUCUUCACGCCCGAGGAAGAGUUUUCUUUUUGCUUCAAGGACCCACAGGGCCAGGCGGUCUGGAAGUGGAAGGUUACCCAGGCCGUGUGCCAGGCCCUGCGUGGGAACAAGGACUUCCCGGUGCUGGGGGCGGGCCCGGAGCCCUCCCAGCCCCCCACCUGCCGCUCCAUGGCAUAUACCUUCCUGGCCGAGGGCCGGCUCUGUCAGGCCACCUACGAGGGUGAAUGGUGCCAGGGCAGGCCCCAUGGCAAGGGGACCCUGAGGUGGCCAGACGGGCGGAAUCAUGUGGGGAAUUUCUGCCAGGGCCUGGAGCACGGCUUUGGCAUCCGCCUGGUGCCCCAGGCCUCCGAGGACAAGUUUGACUGUUACAAGUGCCACUGGCAGGAAGGCAGCAUGUGUGGCUACGGCAUCUGUGAGUACGGCAAUGACGAGGUGUACAAAGGCUACUUCCAGGCGGGCCUGCGGCAUGGGUUUGGGGUCCUCGAGAGCACCCCGCAGGCCCCUCAGCACUGCAAGUACACGGGCCACUGGGAGAGGGGCCAGCGAAGCGGCUACGGCAUCGGGGAGGACGGCGAGAGGGGUGAGCGCUACAUUGGCAUGUGGCAGGCCGACCAGCGCCAUGGCCCAGGGGUCAUGGUCACCCAGGCAGGAGUCUGCUACCAGGGGACCUUCCAGGCGGACAAGAUGGUGGGCCCAGGGAUCCUCCUCUCUGAAGAUGACUCCUUGUACGAGGGCACCUUCACCAGGGACCUGGCCCUCGUGGGGAAGGGCAAAGUCACCUUCCCCAACGGCUUCACCCUGGAGGGCAUCUUUGGCAAUGGGGUGGGGAGAGGCCUGCACACUCAGGGCGUGCUGGACACAGCUGCCCUCCCGCCUGACCCGAGCAGUACCUGCAAGAGGCAGCUGGGCCUGGGCGCCUUCCCCGUGGAGAGCCGCUGGCAGGGUGUCUACGGCCCCUUCCGGGACUUCGUGCGUGCUGGCUGUCCCGGGGACCUGCAGGAGGCCCUGCUGGGCUUCCACGUGCAGAGCUCGAAGGAGCUUCGCAAGUCCCAGGAGUACCUGUGCUGUGAGAGGACCCAGCCGGACGAUGGUGUGGGCAGAAUGGACGAAGUCCUGGAGGAGCUGCUGCAGCACCGGGAGCCCGAGGCCCUGCAGCAGUGCCUCAGGAAGGCUCUGAGCAGCUCUCUGCACCCCCUGGGAAAGCUGCUCCGGACGCUGAUGCUGACCUUCCAGGCCACUUACGCGGGCACUGGGGCCAACAAGCAUCUGCAGGGGCUGGCCCGGGAGGAGGUGAAGCAGCACGCGCAGGAGCUCUGGGCCGCCUACAGGGGUCUGCUGCAGGUUGCCUUACAGCGCAAGGGCCAGGCCCCGGAGGCAGAGGAAGACACAGAGACAAGGGACCUGCAGGUACACGGUUUGGUGCUGCCCCUCAUGCUGCCCAGCUUCUACUCGGAGCUCUUCACUCUCUACCUGCUUCUCCACGAGAGGGAGGACAGCUUCUACAGCCAGGGCAUCACCAACCUGAGCCUCUUCCCCGACACCAAGCUGCUUGAGUUCUUGGACGUGCAGAAGCACCUGUGGCCGCUCAAGGACCUCACGCUGACGACCAAUCAGAGACACUCCCUUGUGACAGACAAGUGCUUCCUGUCAGCUAUCGAGUGUCUGCAGAAGGUCAUCCACCCCGCCGCAGCACCACGGUGGACCCCCGGGAGAAGCUGGAGGUGCUGGAGAAGACGUACGGAGAGAUCGAGGCCACCGUGUCUCGGGUGCUGGGCCAGGAGCACAAGCUGCCCAUGGACGACCUGCUGCCACUGCUCAUCUACGUGGUGUCACGUGCCCGUAUCCAGCACCUGGGAGCUGAGAUCCAUCUGAUCCGUGACAUGAUGGACCCCAUCCACACAGGGGGCCUCUACGACUUCCUGCUCACGGCCCUCGAGUCCUGUUAUGAGCACAUCCAGAAGGAGGACAUGCACCGCUUGCCCAGCCGCUGGGACUCCAGGGAGCCCCGGUAGCCCGGCCUCCCCUGGACGGACCGCAGAGCCACAGAGCUGAGAGGCCGCCGUGGGUUCCCAUGGGGCCAGCGGGCCCAGCCUGGCCCUCGUGGCCCUCGGAGGCGGCUCUUGGAGAUGAAUGUUGAGUUUCCCACAGGAGGAUGUCGCUGCCGCCCAGUUUGGGAUGAGGGUGAGGGCGACAGAUGUGGCUCCAGACCUGGUGGUUUCCUCCCGCUUCCCCUGGGCCAGUCUCAGAUGACCGCCUCCUGCAGGCAGGCCGGGGGUAGGGAGCCCCCGGCUUCUCCUUGCCCGAGUCUGGCUCCUAAGUCAUUGGGCCCCUCUGGGCCUCAGAGUUGCCGUCUGUGAAAUGGUGGACGAGGUCGUCUGUAAAGGACCUUCCUUCCAUCUUGCUGAAGUCCUCCCGGAAGUCUGACUUCGGUCUGUCGGGCUGUGACUGAAAUGCUCACGUCACUGUCAUUCCGUCUCUCUGCUCCUAGUCAGAGACUCCAAGCUGCUAGUGACCACGUGCCUCCUGGGCCUUUUCCCCAUGAGUGGUCUCCCGGGGACCUGCCUUGUUCCAGCUCUGCUCCAGGGGUGAAGCGUGGGGAGAGGGUGGGUUUCUGCGGUGGCCGGGUCUCCCCUGCCACUGCGCCCUGGGCUAAAUAAAGCAAGUCAGGUCAUCGUG